CCCUUAGAUGUUCUGGGCCGCACGCGCGCUACACUGAUGCAGUCAACGAGUCUACAACCUGGGCCGAAAGGUCUGGGUAAUCUUGUGAAAUUGCAUCGUGAUGGGGAUAGAUUAUUGCAACUUUUAAUCUUCAACGAGGAAUACCUAGUAAGCGCGAGUCAUCAGCUCGCGUUGAUUACGUCCCUGCCCUUUGUACACACCGCCCGUCGCUCCUACCGAUUGAAUGGUCCGGUGAACAUUACGGAUCGGGGCGCUGCUGGCGGUCCGCCGCCGGCGGCAUCCUGAGAAGUUCUGUAAACCUUAUCAUUUAGAGGAAGGAGAAGUCGUAACA
rnacentral:rRNA from 1 species